GCCUCGAUAGCUCAGUUGGUAGAGCACCUGUCUCGUAAACAGGAGGUCACGAGUUCGAUCCUCGUUCGAGGCU
rnacentral:tRNA from 1 species